rnacentral:misc_RNA from 1 species
AUCCCGCCGGCGAGACCAACCCCCCAACCAUAGACGUAUUUGAACUAUUUGGUUAUUAAUGAAGAAACCAAAAAUUUCAACGAAGCCACAUUUACUAUGUCACGUAACAUACAGUUGUGGCAACCAAAGCUGUUGGGUCGCCAUAAAUUGACAUUUCUUGUUUUUUCUUUAUAAAGAAAUACUCCUCACCUAAUAGUAUGAGCACAUUGA